AAAUUAAAUUCUCAAUGUGUAUCAUGCACUUUUUGCUUCCUUGGCUGAAACAAUUCCAUCAAGAGCAGAUGCAAGAGAAAAGUGCCGAGGCUGCAACUAAAGGUAUUGAUGCAGACAAACUGGAGGUCCCUCUAACCAUUUGUGGAAAAAAGGAACGGAUAUACUGCAACAACUGCAGGACAUCUAUUGUUAACUUCCACAGAAC